CGACAUCCGUGGACAUAGGUAAUUUGGUGAACCAUGCAAACUGUUUGUGUUAUAGUUUGGUUAUUAUUGUUGAUGUUGAUUUAUCUUGCUUUUGCAUAUUACAGUUGUAGGUACUGUUUUGGGUCAUUGCAACAAGGUCUUGGAAGGUGCUUGGGUGGAUUUUAUGUGUGCCUACAAAGGCGUUCGAUCAAAGUCCUAAGUGAAUACAACAAGUUGUUUGCUUGCUCCAAGAAAGAUAAGUCAAAACUGCCUUGACUACAGCAAAAUUGAGUAGUAAUUCUGUUUGUUUUUUUUGUUUUUUGUUUGUCCUGCUAGAUUAGAUAACAAUUUCUAUUGGGAUUUUCCAAUCAUG
rnacentral:lncRNA from 1 species